AAUUAGUCCCAAUUCAUUUCUACUAUUAAAAAGUGGCGUAGCUAACAGAAUAACUAGACAGUUACACGUGAGGUAUAUCUCAUGCCGAUGUACAAGGACCAGUUUUUAACAGUAGAAAUAGAUGUAACUUUUAACA
rfam:Gossypium raimondii Chr13_contig_1355, whole genome shotgun sequence.